ACGAACGCUGGCGGCGCGCCUAACACAUGCCAGUCGAACGAGCGAGAGAGAGCUUGCUUUCUUGAGCGAGUGGCGAACGGGUGAGUAACGCGUGAGGAACCUGCCUCAAAGAGGGGGACAACAGUUGGAAACGACUGCUAAUACCGCAUAAGCCCACGGUGCCGCAUGGCACAGAGGGAAAAGGAGCAAUCCGCUUUGAGAUGGCCUCGCGUCCGAUUAGCUAGUUGGUGAGGUAACGGCCCACCAAGGCGACGAUCGGUAGCCGGACUGAGAGGUUGAACGGCCACAUUGGGACUGAGACACGGCCCAGACUCCUACGGGAGGCAGCAGUGGGGAAUAUUGCACAAUGGGGGAAACCCUGAUGCAGCGACGCCGCGUGGAGGAAGAAGGUCUUCGGAUUGUAAACUCCUGUUGUUGGGGAAGAUAAUGACGGUACCCAACAAGGAAGUGACGGCUAACUACGUG
rnacentral:rRNA from 1 species